rnacentral:misc_RNA from 1 species
AAUCCAUAUUUGAUCUCUUUAUAGUCCCAAACUAAAUAAAACAAUGAUUAAAAUACAUAAUUUAAAAAAAAAAAUAAAGCUAUUACAGUUAUACAUAUUAGAAAUUCACAUUAUAAUCAAAUGAUUCUUUUUUAAAUAACAAAAAAAGACAUAUUAAUAAAAAAAAUACUCUCUAUAGCAAGACAACAUAAACACAGGACUUUUCCUAUUUAUUAAAUCCACCGUCUAUAUUACAUAGAAACAUACAACUUUGCAAACACAACAACAAAUUACAAAUCGAGAGCCCAAAAAAGAAAUCUAGUUGCACAGCUCACGAGCGAUUCCUAAGCGAGAAUUGGGCGCAUCAAACAAGAUCCUAAGGUUCUGCUGCUGCAAGUUGGCUAUA